rnacentral:lncRNA from 1 species
GACUGGGUUCGUCGUCCUCGUCACCAACGUGUUGAUGUCAAUGCGUGAGAAGGAAGAGUACUAGGAGGAGAGGGGGCUGGUGGAAGAUGAACAGGAGCAAAGUUCACAUUGGCAUGCUUACGUGUCAUGCCACGUCAACAAAAGUGGUAUAAAAUUAGAGAAUCAUCUCUCUCUAGUGGAAAAUACGUAAGAGCAAUUAUAAAAGUGGCAAUCGAAGAGUAGUCAUUUGUAAUAGUGGCAAAUACUUAAAUUCCGCGGAAAGAAAAAGGUGC